AAGGAAGGGGGAAUGUCAUUUUCAGUUGGCCAAAGACAGCUUCUUUGCAUUGCACAAACACUUCUUAGAUCCUCGAAAGUUCUUUGUUUGGAUGAAUGCACUGCCAGUGUGGACAUUCAAACUACUUCGCUGCUGCAAAAAACCAUAUCCAGUGAAUGCAAAGGAAUGACGGUGGUCACAAUUGCUCACCGGAUUUCAACUGUCAUAAAUAUGGACAAUAUUUUAAUUCUUGAUCAUGGAAACCUGGCUGAACAAGGAAAUCCAUAGAUUCUUCUGAAGGAUGGCACCUCUAUAUUUUCGAGUUUUGUUAAAGCUUCAUCUCUGUAACCAUGGAAGGCAUCUAUGGUUGAGUUUGGGAUGCCGUUGAUCUUUAGCUAUACGGAUGUCAAAUUGCAUUACUAGUAAAGAGGUGUAAGACAUGAUAUUAAUAAGUAGUUUUAGAUAUUUUGUUUGUUGAUCAACUUAGACUAGGAAAUAUCAACUAGCUUGUAUAUAUCUGCGAAAU